UGGGGAAUUUUGGACAAUGGGGGAAACCCUGAUCCAGCCAUCCCGCGUGUGCGAUGAAGGCCUUCGGGUUGUAAAGCACUUUUGGCAGGAAAGAAACGUCGCGGGUUAAUACCCCGCGAAACUGACGGUACCUGCAGAAUAAGCACCGGCUAACUACGUGCCAGCAGCCGCGGUAAUACGUAGGGUGCAAGCGUUAAUCGGAAUUACUGGGCGUAAAGCGUGCGCAGGCGGUUCGGAAAGAAAGAUGUGAAAUCCCAGAGCUUAACUUUGGAACUGCAUUUUUUAACUACCGGGCUAGAGUGUGUCAGAGGGAGGUGGAAUUCCGCGUGUAGCAGUGAAAUGCGUAGAUAUGCGGAGGAACACCGAUGGCGAAGGCAGCCUCCUGGGAUAACACUGACGCUCAUGCACGAAAGCGUGGGGAGCAAACAGGAUUAGAUACCCUGGUAGUCCACGCCCUAAACGAUGUCAACUAGCUGUUGGGGCCUUCGGGCCUUGGUAGCGCAGCUAACGCGUGAAGUUGACCGCCUGGGGAGUACGGUCGCAAGAUUAAAACUC
rnacentral:rRNA from 1 species